AGGGAUGUGUAGGUAUUGUAAGACAGGGAUGUAUAGGUAGGUAUUGUAAGACAGGGAUGUAUAGGUAGGUAUUAGUUAGACAGGGAUGUAUAGGUACGAAUUGUAAACAGGAUGUAUAGGUAGGUAAUUGUAAGACGGGGAUGUGUAGGUAGAUUGUAAGACAGGAUGUUUAGGUAGGUAUUGUAAGACAGGGAUGUGUAGGUAGGUAU